rnacentral:rRNA from 1 species
UACGUAGGCAGCAAGCGUUGUUCGGAAUUACUGGGCGUAAAGAGUGUGUAGGCGGUGCUCUAAGUCUGUUGUGAAAUCUCCCGGCUUAACCGGGAGGGUGCGGCGGAAACUGGAGUGCUUGAGGGUGGGAGAGGUAAGCGGAAUUCCUGGUGUAGCGGUGAAAUGCGUAGAUAUCAGGAGGAACACCUGUGGUGUAGGCAGCUUACUGGACCACUUCUGACGCUGAGAAACGAAAGCGUGGGUAGCAAACAGG